GGCGCCGUCGCCAAGUGGUAAGGCCGCAGACUGCAAAUCUGCCAUUCAUCGGUUCGAUUCCGAUCGGCGCCUCCA
rnacentral:tRNA from 1 species